rnacentral:lncRNA from 1 species
AUGUCCCCUUCUUAUGACAAUUUCAAUAAAAUAAUCAGCUUUCUCUACAGCACUGUUGGAGCUUUGGAUAAGAUUGGUCCUGAUGGAACGCAGGUGGCGAUAAUUCAGUUCAGUGAUGAUCCCAGGACAGAAUUUAAAUUGAAUGCAUAUAAAACAAAAGAGACUCUUCUUGAAGCUAUUCAGCAAAUAGCCUACAAAGGAGGGAAUACAAAAACAGGCAAAGCCAUUAAACAUGCAAGAGAAGUCUUGUUUACGGGAGAGGCGGGCAUGAGGAGGGGCAUUCCGAAGGUUUUGGUUGUCAUUACUGAUGGGCGAUCACAGGACGAUGUGAACAAAGUCUCCAGAGAAAUGCAACUGGAUGGUUUCAGCUUUUUUGCUAUUGGAGUAGCUGAUGCUGACUAUUCGGAGUUAGUUAAUAUUGGCAGCAAACCCAGUGAAAGACAUGUCUUCUUUGUGGAUGACUUUGACGCCUUCACAAAGAUUGAAGAUGAGCUGAUCACUUUUGUUUGUGAAACUGCAUCAGCAACCUGCCCAUUGGUAGUUAAAGAUGGCAACAAUUUUGCAGGAUUUAAAAUGAUGGAAAUGUUUGGUUUGGUUGAAAAGGAGUUUUCAGCUGUGGAAGGGGUUUCAAUGGAACCCGGUACAUUUAAUGUUUACCCAUGCUACAGACUGCACAAGGAUGCCCUGGUAUCCCAGCCUACCAAGUAUUUGCAUCCUGAAGGUCUUCCUUCUGAUUACACCAUUACGUUUCUCUUUCGUAUCCUCCCCGACACACCUCAAGAGCCAUUUGCUCUUUGGGAGAUUUUAAAUGAAGCAUAUGAACCACUGGUUGGAGUUAUUUUAGAUAAUGGUGGCAAAACUCUGACUUUCUUUAACUACGACUACAAAGGAGAUUUUCAAACUGUCACGUUUGAAGGUCCUGAAAUAAGGAAGAUAUUUUAUGGGAGCUUUCAUAAGUUGCAUGUUGUUAUCAGCAAGACUACGGCUAAAAUAAUUAUUGACUGCAAGCAAGUGAGUGAGAAGACCAUUAAUGCAGCAGGGAAUAUCAGUUCUGAUGGCAUAGAAGUGCUGGGGAGGAUGGUCAGAUCCAGAGGACCAAGAGAUAACUCUGCACCACUGCAGUUACAGAUGUUUGACAUUGUUUGUGCUACCUCAUGGGCCAAUCGGGACAAAUGCUGUGAGCUUCCUGGCUUGGGACCAGAUGGACCUCGAGGUGAAAUUGGUGUUCCCGGACCACAAGGACCUCCAGGACCACAAGGACCCAGUGGACUUUCUAUUCAAGGGCUUCCAGUGAGACUUACAAAAUCAAUAUGUUAUGACACUGCUCCUGUUGUUGUCCAGGGUGAUCUCCAGUCCCAAGCAAUGGUGCGUGCUGUUGCUCGGCAAGUGUGUGAGCAACUCAUCCAGGGUCAUAUGGCAAGAUAUAACUCAAUUCUGAACCAGAUUCCAAGCCAGUCUGUCUCAACCCGAACCAUCGCAGGACCCCCUGGUGAGCCAGGUCGGCCAGGGGCUCCAGGGCCACAAGGAGAACAAGGUUCCCCAGGCAUGCAAGGGUUUCCAGGAAGUCCCGGUCAACCAGGAAGACCAGGAGAAAGAGGUUUACCAGGCGAGAAGGGAGAAAAAGGCAAUCCAGGAGUUGGAACACAAGGACCCCGAGGCCCACCAGGAUCUACAGGACCUCCAGGAGAAAGUCGAACUGGCAGCCCGGGACCACCAGGUUCUCCAGGCCCACGAGGUCCCCCCGGCCACACGGGGCCCCCGGGUUCCCAGGGUCCUUCAGGCCCGCCGGGGUACUGCGACCCGUCCUCCUGCGCGGGGGUGGCAUUUCCUAACAGCCAAAAUAAGAUGGAGACUACUGGCCAACCUUGGUAG